rnacentral:rRNA from 1 species
UACGAAGGGUGCAAGCGUUACUCGGAAUUACUGGGCGUAAAGCGUGCGUAGGUGGUUGUUUAAGUCUGUCGUGAAAGCCCUGGGCUCAACCUGGGAAUGGCGAUGGAAACUGGACGACUAGAGUGUGGCAGAGGGUAGUGGAAUUCCUGGUGUAGCAGUGAAAUGCGUAGAGAUCAGGAGGAACAUCCGUGGCGAAGGCGACUGCCUGGGCCAACACUGACACUGAGGCACGAAAGCGUGGGGAGCAAACAGG